rnacentral:rRNA from 1 species
UACGAAGGGGGCUAGCGUUGUUCGGAUUUACUGGGCGUAAAGCGCACGCAGGCGGUCUGCUAAGUUUGGAGUGACAGUUGGUGGCUUAACUGCCAAAGUGCUUCGAAAACUGACAGACUUGAGGGCUUCAGAGGGACACGGAAUUCCGGGUGGAGUGGUGAAAUGCGUAGAGAUCCGGAGGAACACCAAAGGCGAAGGCAGUGUCCUGGGGAGUACCUGACGCUCAGGUGCGAAAGCCAGGGGAGCGAACGGG